CUCAUCUUCUCCUGCUGGUGUCUGAGCGAUGGCUGCUGUGGUCAGCGGGAAAGGGUAUGGUUUCGAAACAGACUCUGGAAGAAACCAGGAAGGGGUGAAGCAAUCAGAAAGAAAGAAGAAGCCAGGCCAGCAGCAGUUUUUGCGAUAGCCAGCCUCAGCCUGACCCCGCCGGGGCUCCAGAGGGACACACAGAGACCUGUGGCACGGCUCUUAGAUUCUGAGGAGCCCAGGAGUGGAGCUUGUUAUCUCAAACUUCUCAGAGUCCAUCGGGUCUGCUGCAGCCCAUCAUUGCCGACUGGCCUGCUUGCCUGCGUCACAGCCGCAGGGCUCUGUCUUUGGAGCAGAAUUCCCCAGGAGAUGUCUGCAGCAAGGCCAGGGGCUGCCCUGGCGAGGGAGAGGGUGGGGGAACAGGAAGCCUCAGCUGUGUGUCUGGUCUGGUACUAAUUAGCUGUGUGACCUUGGGCUAGUCACUUAACCUCUCUGGUCUGUUUACUUUUCUGUAAAUGGGGUGCCAGAUUGACUCAUCUUGAAGUUCCUUUGAGCACAAAAGUCCAUAGGGAGGGGAAGGCUCCAAGCCCAGUGCCUGGGAUAGGGCAGGCCUUGGAGGCACUUCAUAAAUGCCUGGAUUGUGUGAGACUCGGGGCGGACAUGGGUGGAUCUGCAGUCAGUGUUUAUUUCCAGCUUUGGAGUGGAACUGAGGCUGGCUCUUGGUCCUGCCACUAAUGGUGACCUCUAGUGGCUUGUUUCUCUGAGCCUCAGUUUACCCAUCUGUAGGACGGGUGUAUACCUCUGCAUGGGUGUUGCGAGUUCCCAAAGUGAUAACAAUUUAGUGUGUGUGUGUGUGUGUGUGUGAGAGAGAAAGAGAGAGAGAGAGAGAGAGAGAGAACAUGCGGAUAUGUGAGUUUUGAGUGUGUGUAAGUAUGCAUGUGAUGGGGGACAGUGGAGAAAAAAAUCUAAAACAUAAUCUUUUAAAAUUGGGGUGAAUUCACAUGUAUUUGAAAUGAAAUAUAAAUAUAAGUUUCACAUUUAUAGUGAAAUUCGCACAAUUAUUUUCAAGUGUGUAGUUCAGUGAUUAAUCUUUCAAAAGAACUUAGAAAUUAGGGAAAGAGUGAGAACCCACUGUCAGGACCUGUGCCAAAUGCUUUGCCCGCAUGUUGUCAUUCGAUCCUCACAACUCCAUGAGGGAGGAAGGGACUUGGCAGAGAAGGAAAUGAGAGCUCAGAGAGGUUGAGCAACUUUCCCAAGAGCACCCAGCCAGGAAGUACAGGGCAGGGUUCAACCCUAGGGGUCCCUGGUCCAGGCGCAGGAGGUGAUGAAGGGCCCACAGCCCCCUGGCCGUCCUUCUGACCUGACUCAGAAGCCCUGGGAAGGGCCGCAGGCAGGCUCGGGUGGGGGCCGGGAUGAUGGGCAGGGCGGCAGGGGCCCAGUUAAGUCACUUGACCUCAUCAUCCCUUCAUUUCCUGCUCUGCCUAAGAGGAAAUGUUUACACAGCGUCCCCACACAGACGCUGCACAGGCCUGGACUUGCAGUAAUUAGCUGAACAAUGAGGGUCCAGCGGCUAUUGAGUGGCCCAGGCACUGGCCUGGGGUCAGGCAGCCAGGGGCCUGGCUCCUCACUGAGAAACUCUCCUCGUGACCCUGGCCUGUCCCCACGCCACCCUGGGCCUACUUCUCCGCAUGGGAAAGGCAGCGGCAGGCGGGCCGGCCCCUAGGACCCCUGGAAGGCCCCACCAGUGGGUGAAGCACCUGGUAUAGUGAGGUAUAGGGGUAUAGGGAGGGAAGGAGGCAGGGGGCUGACGGGGCCCAUGUCAGGCUCUCUUCCAGAUCUGUGGCCCAGAAUGUUUGAUUUGAGGGUCCUCGAGGCAGCUCAGCAAGGCGUGGCAUCCCUCUGCGGUAUCCUUGCUUGGAGGACCCCAUGGACAGAGGAGCCUGGCGGGGUUGCGAAGAGUCAGACACGACUGCAGUGACUUAGCAGGCACACACAAGACAGUUCAGUGUCCAGCCUCCAUUUAUGAAAUAGCUUUUCCAAGUGGUUUGUUUGCUCACUCAUUAGUUAAUACACUAGUUAAUUAAUCAAGCAAAUACUUAUUAUGCAUCCAUGGCUAGUCAUCCUCUUCCAAAAACUGCCCCCCUUUCCCUAGAGCUCCUUAGGCGGCAUGCCUGGCCAGGGACUACAUUUCCCAGACUUCUCCGCACCACAGGGGUCAUGUGACUAGCUCUCACCAAUAAGAGCGAGCAGUGAAGAUGCUUCCCACUGAAGCGCUGGGAAGUGGGCCGUCCCACCGAGGGGGUGAGGGGCCUGUAUCUACUCAUGGGCUCUCACGUGCUGUUGGCUGCGGGCUGCUCUGAGGGGUGUUAACGCCUCCAGUUCACCUUGUUCUCAGGCUGCGGUCACAAGCCGAGGCCAGGAGUCUGCAAUCUGUGUCGCAGGGCAGCUCUGAUGGCUCUAGGAGGAGGCCCUCCUGGCCUGGCUUGCAGCUUUGCAAGGCUGCCGGCUCUCCCAGGUGUCACUUGACUGUGGCUGCAUUGCCCCGACCUCUGCCUCCAUCCUCACGUGGCUUCUCCACCCCCCCAUCCCAGGCCACUACCGUGGUGUCUUCAUGUGGCCUUCCCAUCAGGAUAGCAGUCGAUGCAUUUAGUGCCCAGUCUCACCUAGCAUAACUUCUUUGUAACUGACCACCUCAGCAGAGACCCGAUUUCCAAACGGACAAGCACGAUGGGAGGUGGCACCACGCAGAGUGGAGACCUUGGCGCCGGCAGUUGGAUGUUUUGAGCCCUGAAAUGGACGGUGCCAGCCGGCAUUCACUUAGACUGGGAACCAGAGCACGGGCUUUCAGCUGGGGGCUCCGUGGUCAGAGGGCCUGGCCCUGGCUUCGGGAUCUCCUGGGGCCAGGAUCUCAUUUCCUUCAAAAAGCCCUUGCUUUGGAGCAAACAGCAUCUCCUGUGAACGACUACGCUCUCUGCUCCCUCUGCCUGAUGCGCUUCCGAUGUGUCUCUGCCUGAGACACAUUGUUCACUGAGCUCCUCAAAGAAGACACACGGUGCGUCUACAGCUCCACCCACUCUGUGUGCCCUGGGGGCUUUAGCAUCUCAUGGGCCAGAUGGCAAGUCCAGGCUCCACUACUUGCUGGCUGUGUGUCCUUGGGCGACUUACAUAACCUAUCUGGGCCUUGGCUUCUGCUGUGGGUGUACUGUGAAGACUGAAUGAAAUCAUAUGUGAUAAUAUAUGUA
ensembl:lncRNA